CACGAAUCAUCUGGAUAGGUUUUUUUGUUUGUGUUUUUUUCGGAGGAAUGAAAACAAGCAGAAAUUAGCCCCGAAUGGACAGAUAGUUCAAGGGUUUUAAUGUGUGGGUUCAGAAAACAAACCUCAAGAUGGACUGGAUUUUAAUUCACCGAUGUCUAACCAGAAAGACAUGCCAGCCCUCAGAAAAUGGUGGUGCACAGUACUGCUUGAGAACUUCCACCUGGAUGGGCAUGGCAGAAAGUUCCCACACUUCAUUGAGGAGGCCAAACAAAUGGCGGCUGGACUACUUCCACCAGUCUUCAGACUGAAGCGAAAAAGAGAAUGAGUUGGAGCUGAUGGCAGUCAGCAUGAAGAAGCUAUAUCUUUAAGCUUCUGUCGAUUAUUUGUUAAAUACAUUUUGA
ensembl:lncRNA